GUGAACGCUGGCGGUAGGCCUAACACAUGCAAGUCGAACGGCAGCACAGUAAGAGCUUGCUCUUACGGGUGGCGAGUGGCGGACGGGUGAGGAAUACAUCGGAAUCUACUUUUUCGUGGGGGAUAACGUAGGGAAACUUACGCUAAUACCGCAUACGACCUACGGGUGAAAGCAGGGGAUCUUCGGACCUUGCGCGAUUGAAUGAGCCGAUGUCGGAUUAGCUAGUUGGCGGGGUAAAGGCCCACCAAGGCGACGAUCCGUAGCUGGUCUGAGAGGAUGAUCAGCCACACUGGAAAUGAGACACGGUCCAGACUCCUACGGGAGGCAGCAGCGGGGAAUAUUGGACAAUGGGCGCAAGCCUGAUCCAGCCAUACCGCGUGGGUGAAGAAGGCCUUCGGGUUGUAAAGCCCUUUGUUGGGAAAGAAAAGCAGCAGGUUAAUACCCCGCUGUUCUGACGGUACCCAAAGAAUAAGCACCGGCUAACUUCGUG
rnacentral:rRNA from 1 species